GAAGAGAUGGCUCAGUGGUUAAGAGCACUGACUGCUCUUCCAAAGGUCCUGAGUUCAAUUCCCAGCACCCACA
rnacentral:tRNA from 1 species